GAAAAAGAGAGAAAGAGAAAGAAAAAAAGAAAAGAAAAGAGAAAAGAAAAGAGGACAUUUUCCUACCACCAGCACAUUGAGGGCGAGGGAUCGUCAGAAGUUCACAAAUCAGAGGACUGGAUUCUGUCUUUGCCUUGAACCUGGCAAAGUGAAGUAGAGAAAAAUAAAAAAGGCCCCCAGCCUCCCAUGCCUGCAUAUCUUGACGUUUGUGGUCAAGAUCACAGCCAAAGACUCACACCAGCUAAGUCACAAAGUUUGGCUCAGCCUGGGGCUUCCUGGAAACCACUAAGCUGAAGAGGUUCGUGAGGUCCCCACAGUUCAUUUAGAAUUCACAGCCUUCCCCUAUGACAUUUUUGUUUCUAACAUAGAUCUCCUCUAAGGAAAGGGAUAGAGCUGCCACAGAGAACAAAAUGCCCUUCAGCCCUGAGUUCAUCAGUUCUUGCUGUACAAAAACACCUUUUUCCCCCCUCUAACACAGGAAAUGCAGGAAACCAGCACCAGCUGAUUUAAAAAAAAAAAAAAAAGACCCCUCCCCCGCCACCACACACACACACACCCCACGCACCCACACACACAAGCCUUUCAACUUGUCCAGAAACUUGCCCACAGCACUUCUGGCCACGCCGGGCUGGGCCAUUGUGACGUCAGGCCGGCAGUCAGCCAAUGGAUGAAUGGUUCUGACUUUCUCAUCUGCAUAUUGCGGUGGCAUUGGUUCAGAUUUCAGGGCCAUUUGUAUUGUGGUGGUUUCUUUAUGUUCAAGGUUAUCCACCCCAGGCAGAGGACAAACUCCACUCCUGGCCUUCCUGCCCAGCUACAUUUAAGGGUUGUAACCAGGACAGUGAGUCCGUUCUGGGAAAGGGGCCUCAUGGAGGUUAUGAAAUCCAGCAGGGCAUGGAAGGAGAAAGAAUUGGCAAUCCAGACGGGAUGGAGGCAGGAGUUGGCUCUGUAACCCCAUCUUUCCUAUCCACCAGCACUCCCCUGCGCUUCCCAAGUGAUUUAAUUAUCCAUUCUUUAACUGCAACUCGAUUAGCCCUGAAAUUUGGGUGAAGAGAAAUCAGACACAGGGGACUACUGCUGAGAAACUCUGCCUUGAUUUUCCAAGUCACUUUUAAUUUUAAAUGUUUAUUUCCCCAUGGUCUUCACAAACCAUUGAAAUAUCUCAGCAACUGAAAUAUUCCAGCAUGCAAACUUGAUCUCUUCGAUUGCCUACCACACCCAAAAGCUGUGCAGAAACCUCCUAACACGUACACUUAUUUGGACUGGAAACUGGAGCCACCAUCACUAUGAAGAGAUGUGGAGUGAUCAGACUUCCAUGUGUGAUGAUUAAUUUUAUGUGUCUACUGGACUAGGUUAAGGGAUGCCCAGAUGGCUGGUAAAACAUUAUUUCUAGGUAUGUCCAUGAGGGUAUUUCCAGAAGAGAUUAGCAUUUGAAUCUGAAUAAUGUUUGCCUUCACCAAUUCAGGUGAGCAUCAUGCCAUCCAUUGAGAGCCCAAAUGGAACAAAAAGGUUUAGGAAGCGUGAAUUCGCUGUCUCUGCUUGAGCUGGAGCAUCAUCUCUUGCCCUCAGGCAUCAGCACUCCUGGUUUGGGGGACUUAGGAUUCAGACUGGGACCUAUGCCAUUGGUUUCCCUGGUUCUCAGGCCUCCGGGCUUCGUUGGACUGGAACUAUACCACCUGUUUUCCUGGGUCUUCAGCUUGCAGAUGGCAGACUGUGGGACUUCUCAGUCUUCAUCAUUGUGUGAGCCAAUCCCCCAUAAUAAAUAUCUUUCUCUAUGUCUA